UACGUAGGGGGCAGGCGUUGUCCGGAAUCAUUGGGCGUAAAGCGCGUGUAGGCGGCUAGAUAAGUCUGCUCUGAAAGCCCGGGGCUCAACCCCGGGAGGCGGGUGGAUACUGUCUAGCUCGAGUCCGGAAGAGGAGUGUGGAAUUCCUGGUGUAGCGGUGAAAUGCGCAGAUAUCAGGAGGAACACCUGAGGUGAAGACGGGUUGCUGGGCCGACACUGACGCUGAGGCGCGAAAGCCAGGGGAGCAAACGGG
rnacentral:rRNA from 1 species